ACGGUAAUCCCCACGGAACAAAGGGACGUGGGCGCGAACGUGGUUUAAGAGUCUUUAUGCUUCGAUUUUCCCGCUGGCGCCUGUGUCUGUUAUCAUUCAUUAAAUGCUACAUGGCGGGUGUUUCUCUUAUUAACUGAACAUAGCACUUAGCAUUAAGAUAACCUAGGCGGGGCGGAAACGCGGCUUAUACUGUUUAAAAACAGAUUAGCCACCCUAGAGAGAAACUAGCGCUAGCUAUUGUCUCAUGUUAGCGCACCCGGCACUGCUAGCGUGUGAUGGAAUUUAGCUAGGCGGCUGGGCAAGCCAUCAUCAGAUAUCACCACAUAGCCACCCUAAAUGGAUUUUACCUUGCUACCGACUGCAUCCCAGACUAAAUGGGUAUGCUCCAGAGGUCCGCUGUGGCCCGGUGCUCCUCCCCUCCCCGCUUUGGUACGAUGCGUCUCCACGGGGUCAGUGAACAUCACGGUCCCGCUAAACGUGUGGGCUGGGAAGAGAAGGACGAGCAAAGAGAAAUGCAACAGGAAAAUGUUUACAAACCUGCCACAGGGUGAGUCUUGUGCCGUUUAGAGCCGUGUGGUGCCAUGGAUGUCAAUCAGGCUGUGCAGGCUGCCAAAUCAGCCUUCGGCCACUGGGAUGGAGAGGGCAAAGGCAAUGAGAGAAGCUGCCCAGCUUAUUAAUUUAUUCUAGCAGGAGAGAGGAGAUAGCUCAGAUGGAGGUGGUUAACGAUGGGAAGUCCAUCACGGAGGCUUGUCUGAACGUGCACUCUGCCAGAUUGUGCAUAUACUAGCCGGGCUGGCCAGGACUCCGGCAGGCCAGCAUGUCCAAUUGCCAGGAGAAUCCUCUUUUCUACACAUGGAGCCUUUGGGAGUCGACUUUGGUGCUUGAAAUGAUCCUUUCCAGAUAGCUGCCUGGAAAUCCGCUCCAGCAUUGGCCUGCGGUUGCAGUGAUGAGAUGACCUGUGUGAAGGAGGAGAUCGUUGGUCCUGUCAUGUCUGUGUUGUCUUUUGAAAGAGAAGAGGAAGUGCUGCAGAGAGCCACUGACACCGCCACGGGUGCUGGAGCUUUCACAAGGGAUGUGAUGCGAGCCCAUCAUGUGGUUGAACACCUCAAGGCUGGGUCCUGUUUCAUCGACAACUACAAUAUCACCUGUUGAGGUGCCCAUGGAGGCUUCAGAAUGUCAGGUAUAGGGCGGGAGAAUGGCCAGGUGACCUUUGAAUACUACUCCCAGCUGAAGACUGUUUGUGGAGAUGGGCAAUGUGGACAACCUCUUCUAGGGAACCCAGAGGAAGAUGGAGCUGUAAAGCUAAACCAGAGACUGGAACAGAUGGUAUGAACAGGAACACCACCUCCAUCACUCAGGGAAAAAUCAUCUAACAUUAAUGCUCAAAAUAAUGAGAAACGAGAUUUUAUGAAUUGGGCCUCAAGAAUAAAAGGACAACAUCAGACAGGGAAAGGAAACCUAAGGAAAACAGUUGUGGUGAUUAAGGAGAACGUUGGUAACAUAACAUUAGAUUGGGAAAUAUAUUAGAAAUAGAAACAAAGUUGUCUGUCAAAUGGAGACAGUUUUUUAGUAUUUCCUUAAUUUUGAUAGAUUUUAACUACUUAAGCAGAGAUGAUUUGCAUUUUAUGAAUCAUGAGUUGCACUGCAGCAGUUUGUCUUGCCAAAUAUGUUGUCGCUUAUGUACAGAAUUAAAAAUUAGUUUUUGUACAACAAAU